CGUGCGGUUCUAUUUUGUUGGUUUCUAGGACCGCCGUAAUGAUUAAUAGGGACAGUCGGGGGCAUCAGUAUUCAAUUGUCAGAGGUGAAAUUCUUGGAUUUAUUGAAGACUAACUACUGCGAAAGCAUUUGCCAAGGAUGUUUUCAUUAAUCAGGAACGAAAGUUAGGGGAUCGAAAACGAUCAGAUACCGUUGUAGUCUUAACCAUAAACUAUGCCGACUAGGGAUCGGACGAUGUUAUUUUUUGACUCGUUCGGCACCUUACGAGAAAUCAAAGUGCUUGGGCUCCAGGGGGAGUAUGGUCGCAAGGCUGAAACUUAAAGAAAUUGACGGAAGGGCACCACCAGGGGUGGAGCCUGCGGCUUAAUUUGACUCAACACGGGGAAACUCA
rnacentral:rRNA from 1 species